rnacentral:rRNA from 1 species
GUCUACGGCCAUGCCACCCUGAACACGCCCGAUCUCGGCUGAUCUUGGAAACUAAGCAGGGUCGGGCCUGGUUAGUACUUGGAUGGGAGACUGCCUAGAAAGUCUAGGUGCUGUAGGAA